AGAAGAAUCUCAAGUGUUCAGAAAACCGACGUAUGAAAUGGAUGAGAUCAAUCCUGACUGGGUUCCAGCACUGAAUAUGGGUCACUGCGAGAGGUAAAUAAUGAA